rnacentral:rRNA from 1 species
AGCCCUUGACAUGUCCCGUAUGGGUGGGGGAGACCUCAUUCUUCAGUUCGGCUGGCGGGAACAC